GGGUCGUCGCAGCGGGGAGCAGUUUUGAGCUGGGGGAGCCACUGCCCAGCUGACUAAGCACACGCAAUGCCGACCGAUCUAACGAUCGCGCUGUCGUCUCCAUCAAGUGUCGAGUACACAGAAGGAGUACUUCACCGUCGUACGGAACGUGAAGCAAGCGCAUCAAUGCCACGAGGUCGGGCGAGACGCAGGAGUUCACGUGACAUGAGGGAGUUUUUUUUACUUUGCUAAGAGGGAAUCAAGAGCGGCUCGUCCGUCAGCUCUCGUGCUCUCAGUGCGGUGAGCCUGGCCAGCAAGUGUCUUGUGGCGUCGUUCAGAUCUCACCUGAGAGCUCACGACAUGUUGUUCGCAGGUGUUCUGUGCCUUAAACGAUGCCGACAGGUA